UACGUAGGGGGCAAGCGUUGUCCGGAUUUAUUGGGCGUAAAGAGCGUGUAGGCGGCCAUACAGGUCAGCUGUGAAAACUCGAGGCUCAACCUCGAGACGUCGGUUGAAACCGUAUGGCUAGAGUCCGGAAGAGGAGAGUGGAAUUCCCGGUGUAGCGGUGAAAUGCGCAGAUAUCGGGAGGAACACCGGUGGCGAAGGCGGGUCUCUGGGCAGUAACUGACGCUGAGGAGCGAAAGCGUGGGGAGCGAACAGG
rnacentral:rRNA from 1 species